AGCGAACGCUGGCGGCAGGCUUAACACAUGCAAGUCGAGCGGGCACUUUCGGGUGUCAGCGGCGGACGGGUGAGUAACGCGUGGGAACGUGCCCUCUGGUUCAGAAUAACUCAGGGAAACUUGAGCUAAUACCGGAUACGCCCUUUUGGGGAAAGGCUUGCUGCCGGAGGAUCGGCCCGCGUCUGAUUAGCUAGUUGGUGAGGUAACGGCUCACCAAGGCGACGAUCAGUAGCUGGUCUGAGAGGAUGAUUAGCCACACUGGGACUGAGACACGGCCCAGACUCCUACGGGAGGCAGCAGUGGGGAAUAUUGGACAAUGGGCGCAAGCCUGAUCCAGCCAUGCCGCGUGAGUGAUGAAGGCCUUAGGGUUGUAAAGCUCUUUUAUCCGGGACGAUAAUGACGGUACCGGAGGAAUAAGCCCCGGCUAACUUCGUG
rnacentral:rRNA from 1 species